UGUACACAUAUGGUGGGGGAGGUGGCGACUUGUAGAUAUAUGGAGGAGGUGGUGAUGGUGGAGGAGGAGAUGGGUAAACAUAAGGUGGAGGAGGUGGUGACUUAUACACAUAUGGAGGAGGUGGGGGUGAUUUGUAGAUAUAUGGAGGAGGAGGCGAUGGUGGAGGAGGAGAUGGGUAAACAUAAGGUGGAGGAGGUGGUGAUUUGUAUACGUAUGGAGGAGGUGGUGAUGGUGGAGGAGGAGACGGGUAAACGUAAGGUGGAGGAGGUGGUGACUUGUACACAUAUGGAGGAGGUGGGGGUGACUUGUACACAUAUGGAGGAGGUGGUGAUGGUGGAGGAGGAGACGGGUAAACAUAAGGUGGAGGAGGUGGUGACUUGUACACGUAUGGAGGAGGUGGGGGUGACUUGUACACAUAUGGAGGAGGUGGCGGUGACUUGUAUACAUACGGAGGAGGUGGUGAUGGUGGAGGAGGAGACGGGUAAACGUAAGGUGGAGGAGGUGGUGACUUGUACACGUAUGGAGGAGGUGGGGGUGACUUGUAUACAUAUGGAGGUGGCGGUGAUGGUGGAGGAGGAGACGGGUAAACAUAAGGUGGAGGAGGUGGUGACUUGUACACAUAUGGAGGAGGUGGUGGUGAUUUAUAGACAUAAG
rnacentral:lncRNA from 1 species